rnacentral:rRNA from 1 species
AUUGACGGCCAUAGGGGGCUGGAUACACCUGUUCCCAUUCGAACACAGAAGUUAAGAAGCCCUCCGUUCGCCCGUGUACUGGUCUUAUGAUCGGGAAAGGGCGAAAGCUGUCUCUU